GAUGAACGCUGGCGGCGUGCCUAAUACAUGCAAGUCGAGCGAACGGACGAGAAGCUUGCUUCUCUGAUGUUAGCGGCGGACGGGUGAGUAACACGUGGAUAACCUACCUAUAAGACUGGGAUAACUUCGGGAAACCGGAGCUAAUACCGGAUAAUAUUUUGAACCGCAUGGUUCAAAAGUGAAAGACGGUCUUGCUGUCACUUAUAGAUGGAUCCGCGCUGCAUUAGCUAGUUGGUAAGGUAACGGCUUACCAAGGCAACGAUGCAUAGCCGACCUGAGAGGGUGAUCGGCCACACUGGAACUGAGACACGGUCCAGACUCCUACGGGAGGCAGCAGUAGGGAAUCUUCCGCAAUGGGCGAAAGCCUGACGGAGCAACGCCGCGUGAGUGAUGAAGGUCUUCGGAUCGUAAAACUCUGUUAUUAGGGAAGAACAUAUGUGUAAGUAACUGUGCACAUCUUGACGGUACCUAAUCAGAAAGCCACGGCUAACUACGUGCCAGCAGCCCGCGGUAAUACGUAGGUGGCAAGCGUUAUCCGGAAUUAUUGGGCGUAAAGCGCGCGUAGGCGGUUUUUUAGUCUGAUGUGAAAGCCCACGGCUCAAUCGUGGAGGGUCAUUGGAAACUGGAAAACUUGAGUGCAGAAGAGGAAAGUGGAAUUCCAUGUGUAGCGGUGAAAUGCGCAGAGAUAUGGAGGAACACCAGUGGCGAAGGCGACUUUCUGGUCUGUAACUGACGCUGAUGUGCGAAAGCGUGGGGAUCAAACAGGAUUAGAUACCCUGGUAGUCCACGCCGUAAACGAUGAGUGCUAAGUGUUAGGGGGUUUCCGCCCCUUAGUGCUGCAGCUAACGCAUUAAGCACUCCGCCUGGGGAGUACGACCGCAAGGUUGAAACUCAAAGGAAUUGACGGGGACCCGCACAAGCGGUGGAGCAUGUGGUUUAAUUCGAAGCAACGCGAAGAACCUUACCAAAUCUUGACAUCCUUUGACAACUCUAGAGAUAGAGCCUUCCCCUUCGGGGGACAAAGUGACAGGUGGUGCAUGGUUGUCGUCAGCUCGUGUCGUGAGAUGUUGGGUUAAGUCCCGCAACGAGCGCAACCCUUAAGCUUAGUUGCCAUCAUUAAGUUGGGCACUCUAAGUUGACUGCCGGUGACAAACCGGAGGAAGGUGGGGAUGACGUCAAAUCAUCAUGCCCCUUAUGAUUUGGGCUACACACGUGCUACAAUGGACAAUACAAAGGGCAGCGAAACCGCGAGGUCAAGCAAAUCCCAUAAAGUUGUUCUCAGUUCGGAUUGUAGUCUGCAACUCGACUACAUGAAGCUGGAAUCGCUAGUAAUCGUAGAUCAGCAUGCUACGGUGAAUACGUUCCCGGGUCU
rnacentral:rRNA from 1 species